rnacentral:rRNA from 1 species
UACGUAGGGGGCAAGCGUUGUCCGGAUUUAUUGGGCGUAAAGAGCGUGUAGGCGGCUGGGUAGGUCUGCUGUGAAAACUCGAGGCUCAACCUCGAGACGUCGGCGGAAACCAUCUGGCUAGAGUCCGGAAGAGGAGAGUGGAAUUCCUGGUGUAGCGGUGAAAUGCGCAGAUAUCAGGAAGAACACCAAUGGCGAAAGCAGCUCUCUGGGACGGUACUGACGCUGAGACGCGAAAGCGUGGGGAGCGAACAGG